UACGUAGGGGGCAAGCGUUGUCCGGAUUUAUUGGGCGUAAAGCGCGUGUAGGCGGCUAGAUAGGUCCGCUGUGAAAACUUGAGGCUCAACCUCAAGAGGUCGGUGGAAACCAUCUGGCUAGAGUCCGGAAGAGGAGAGUGGAAUUCCUGGUGUAGCGGUGAAAUGCGCAGAUAUCAGGAGGAACACCCGUGGCGAAAGCGGCGAGCUGGACCACUACUGACGCUGAAGAACGAAAGCUAGGGGAGCAAACAGG
rnacentral:rRNA from 1 species